CGGUCUUGACAUCUGGGCGGAUACGGGGCAAUGCCCGUAGCCUUCGGGCGCCCAAGACAGGUGGUGCAUGGUUGUCGUCAGCUCGUGUCGUGAGAUGUUGGGUUAAGUCCCGCAACGAGCGCAACCCUUACCUUCAGUAGCCAGCGAGUGAAGUCGGGCACUCUGGAGGGACUGCCGGGGACAACCCGGAGGAAGGUGGGGAUGACGUCAAAUCAUCAUGCCCCUUAUGGCCGGGGCUACACACGUGCUACAAUGGCGUAAACAAAGGGAAGCGAAGGAGCGAUCCGGAGCGAAUCCCAAAAAUAACGUCUCAGUUCGGAUUGCAGGCUGCAACCCGCCUGCAUGAAGCCGGAAUCGCUAGUAAUCGCGAAUCAGCAUGUCGCGGUGAAUACGUUCCCGGGUC
rnacentral:rRNA from 1 species